CAAUAAGGUACCUCUUAAUAAUUUACUAUUAAAUGGCAUUAACUGGUUGACAGACAAGUUAAAUAUUACAAUACUUGUCUUUUCUCAAUAAAGCACAUUCAAAUAUACUAAAACAAAUCACAUAAACUCUCUGAUGUUUAAAAAAUUACUUUUAUCCCUUUAACAUUGUGUCUAUACUAUCUAUGUGCUUUGUGUUAUAAGGCAUCCUUGUGUUAUCACAAUAGUUUGUUCUCUCUGCUUCUUUCAGGUCAAACAUCUACGAGGUAGGAUGAGACACGGAUUAGUUUUCUUUACUCAGAAAAGUUCAAAACAUGUUUCAGACUUUCUUGGCUUGGUGAAAUACCAAAUGAGGUUUCCUUAAAAGGAGAAAACAGAUCAGAGGACCCCCAUUUCCUUGGGAAGGAACUCUGCCUCUACCAGAAAAGAAUGAAGGGAAGAACUCAACCUUCAAAGGAAAAAAAGACAACCAGCCUGUGAACCCCUCUCGCCCAAAACAAAGAAGUCAAAUAGAAAUGGAAGACAGAGAACAGGGAUCAUUGUCAUUACCUUGUUAUUUUCUUAAAAGUAGAUUGAGUGGUCAGCAAUUCUGAGAAAGCCAUUUAGUCUACAGGUCUGAA
rnacentral:lncRNA from 1 species